rnacentral:misc_RNA from 1 species
UACCCGCUUCUCCGAGCUAG